rnacentral:rRNA from 1 species
AUUGAACGCUGGCGGCAGGCCUAACACAUGCAAGUCGAACGAGUGGCGGACGGAUUAGUAAUGCCUGUGAAACUGACUGAUGGAGAGGGAUAACGACUGGAAACUGUAGCUAAUACCGCACACCAUCAUAUGUGCCCAGAUGGGAUUGGCUGGUUGGUGGGGUAACGGCUAACCAAGGCGACGAUCCCUAGCUGGUCUGAGCGGAUGACCAGCCACCUGUGAACUGCGACCGGGUCCCGACUCCUACGGUAGGACGUCGAGGGGAAUCUUGCACAAUGAGCGAAAGCCUGAUGCAGCCAUGACGGGUGUAUGACGAAUGCCUUCGGGUUGUAAAGUACGUGCAGCGGGGCGGCGUUACCCGCAGAAGAAGCACCGGCUAACUCCGUGCCAGCAGCCGCGGUAAUUC